rnacentral:rRNA from 1 species
UGGGGAAUAUUGGACAAUGGGGGGAACCCUGAUCCAGCCAUGCCGCGUGUGUGAAGAAGGCCUUAUGGUUGUAAAGCACUUUAAGCGAGGAGGAGGGUACUGGUAUUAAUACUACCAGCUACUGGACGUUACUCGCAGAAUAAGCACCGGCUAACUCUGUGCCAGCAGCCGCGGUAAUACAGAGGGUGCGAGCGUUAAUCGGAUUUACUGGGCGUAAAGCGUGCGUAGGCGGCUAAUUGAGUCGGAUGUGAAAUCCCCGAGCUUAACUUGGGAAUUGCAUUCGAUACUGGUUAGCUAGAGUGUGGGAGAGGAUGGUAGAAUUCCAGGUGUAGCGGUGAAAUGCGUAGAGAUAUGGAGGAAUACCGAUGGCGAAGGCAGCCAUCUGGCCUAACACUGACGCUGAGGUGCGAAAGCAUGGGGAGCAAACAGG